AUUGAACGCUGGCGGCAGGCCUAACACAUGCAAGUCGAGCGGAUGAAGGGAGCUUGCUCCUGGAUUCAGCGGCGGACGGGUGAGUAAUGCCUAGGAAUCUGCCUGGUAGUGGGGGAUAACGUCCGGAAACGGGCGCUAAUACCGCAUACGUCCUGAGGGAGAAAGUGGGGGAUCUUCGGACCUCACGCUAUCAGAUGAGCCUAGGUCGGAUUAGCUAGUUGGUGGGGUAAAGGCCUACCAAGGCGACGAUCCGUAACUGGUCUGAGAGGAUGAUCAGUCACAUGGGAACUGAGACACGGUCGGGGGUAGCAUGGGAGGGCGAGGUGGGGAGUAUGAGGAAGGGGGCGGAAGUGUAAGCCAGCGAAGGCGCGGGUGAGGGGAAGGUCUUCAGAUUGUAAAGCAUUUGAAGUGAGGAAGAAAAGCAGCAAGUGAAUACUUCGCGGUAGUGGCGUCAGCAACAGAAGAAACACCCACUAACUUCAUG
rnacentral:rRNA from 1 species